GGGGAUAUAUAGCGGCUGGUGUCGUUCCCGGACUUCAAAUCCGUGUGUCGGGACGCAGAACGUUCCGAGGUGUGUUCGAUUCGCACAUAUCCCCGCCA
rnacentral:tRNA from 4 species